GCCUGGGUGGCUCAGUCGGUUAAGCAUCUGAUUUCGGCUCAGGUCAUGAUCUCACGGUGGUUCAUGAGUUCGAGCCCCAUGUCAGGCU
rnacentral:tRNA from 1 species